GCUGGCUGUGAUGACACACUUGCCCUCACUGAGGUCCGUGUGGGGAUCGCUGUGGAGAACAUCCCAUGUGCUCACUUGGGCUGAGCCUUC
rnacentral:snoRNA from 1 species